AAGCCUGGAAAAGGAAAAGGAGAAUUCAAAACUAAGAUUUGUCCUUACCCACCUUGCACGUCCUCAGAAGAUGUAAAAUCCUACCAUGGUCAAGGGGAUCCUUGGGUCCAUAUUUAGCAAGACUGUCUCUGUCACCAAAAAUAAUGGAACACCACUCAGGACAACCAACAUUAAAAAGUCAACUACUUCAACUUUAAUCUUCCAGCUAAAACAUCUGUGUUUUAUACAGCCUUCAGAAAGGCAAAGGCCUUCUUGAAGACAUGUUCUGGAUCAACAUUUUUCACUUGAAAUGAAAGUACAGAAACCAGAAGAGACCUUGAAAUUCUCAUAGGACUAGAAAGACAAAUUUGGAAAUGUGAGGACACAAGAUUCCAAAGAGAAGAGACGAAUAAAUAACUGAACACUUGGAGAGCCAAUUUUCCCUCUAAGAAUUUUCCUAUAUCUGAGAUGAAUGACUUGAGAAGAGAUAUCCUCUGAAAAGCAUGGCAUUUAUUUUCUAUAGUCUCUUUGUAAUAUAAGAAUUGAAAUUCAGGAUUUGCCACAGGAUGCACCCCCACCACCACUACAGUGAAUUAACAGGUUCUCAGAAGAAAACACCAAAAAUCUACAUCUUAAGAUCUGAUAUGAAAAAGUAGGUAGCCUUUCAAAAAAUAAAACAUAACCUUGGUUCAGGACAGUUUCUGAUUAGAGUAAAAUCACAAGCCACAUUCUAUAUGCCCAGCUGAGAAAGGGUAAAGACAAUAGCAAAAUAUUAGCUGCUGGCUUUAUAAAUUUUAGUAUAUAAUGCCUGUUUUUAAAUUUGAAAAAUUAUUAAGCAUGCUAACAGACAGGAACAUAAGAUUGCAAACCAAGAAAAAUGAAAAAGGGAAAAAAAGACCCAAAUAUGAUCAAGAUAGUAACUUAGCAAAAAUUUUUAAGUCACUGUGUUAGCAUGUAUAAGAAUAUAGAAACAAAGAUGGAGAAAAUGUAUUAAGAGAUAGGCCUUCACCAGAGUUUUGUCAUUUACUGAAAAAAUGUAAAUUCUGUAACAAAAAUAUUAUAAUUGAAAUUAAGAAUCUAAACAGAUCUAUUAACAGCAGUUUUGACACACAAGAGAACAAAAUUACUCAACUGGAAGGUAUAUCAACAAAAAAUCAAGUAGAAGAACUGAAAUGAAAAAUGAAAAUAAGUAUCAAAAAGAGUGAAACAUAUUUGUGCUACACAAUGAUGGGUUCUAAGAAAAGAAGUAGAAGACAUGCAUGGAGGGGAAAAAAAAGUAUGAGAAAUUUCUAAAACUGAUCAAAGAAUUCUAGAAUUCUGUAUGCAGUAAAAUUAUAUUUCAGCUGAGCACAAUACACACUCCUGCAAUCCCAGUUACAUGGGAAGAUCACAAGCUCAAGGCCAGCUUGGGUAACUUAGUGGUACAGUAUGUCAAAAGGAACAAAG